UUAGAGAUGAAAUGAGUAUGUGUGUUGGAAAAUGAAGAUACCGCGACCGAAGCCAACAAUGCCACUUUUUCCUUUCUCUUUUUUGUUGUUUUUGUCAAAAUGAAUGUUUAGAGAGAGACUUGAUUGGAGAGGUUCGGUCGUUCCUUUCUUGAUAUUGGCUAACAUGGUCCUUAUAUAGUGCAUACUAGGGAUUUCCAUUUUUAUUAAAUGUCCAACAUACCCUUAAUGAGUGAAAAUAAUUUAAAAUAGUUAUAAACAAUUUAAAUCAAAUAAAAAUACAUUAAUCUAAAUAAUAUCAAAAUUAAUUCG
rnacentral:lncRNA from 1 species